CUAUACUUAAAACUGUGCACGGACAGACAAACACGUAUAAAUGGGAGACAAUCAUUAAUAUGCCUGAGAGGUGCCAAAGCUGUGAUUGGGGCCAAGAACCUCUGAGUAACCCUGGACCACUGCCUCUCCUACUCCCAGCCCAUCUCCACUCUAGCAUGCACCUGUCGAUUCUUCCUGAGCAACAUACGAAGAA